rnacentral:rRNA from 1 species
AUUGAACGCUGGCGGCAUGCCUUACACAUGCAAGUCGAACGGUAACAGGUCUUCGGAUGCUGACGAGUGGCGAACGGGUGAGUAAUACAUCGGAACGUGCCCGAUCGUGGGGGAUAACGAGGCGAAAGCUUUGCUAAUACCGCAUACGAUCUACGGAUGAAAGCAGGGGACCGCAAGGCCUUGCGCGAACGGAGCGGCCGAUGGCAGAUUAGGUAGUUGGUGGGAUAAAAGCUUACCAAGCCGACGAUCUGUAGCUGGUCUGAGAGGACGACCAGCCACACUGGGACUGCGACACGGCCCAGACUCCUACGGGAGGCAGCAGUGGGGAACUUUGGACAAUGGGCGAAAGCCUGAUCCAGCCAUGCCGCGUGCAGGAUGAAGGCCUUCGGGUUGUAAACUGCUUUUGUACGGAACGAAAAGACUCUGGUUAAUACCUGGGGUCCAUGACGGUACCGUAAGAAUAAGCACCGGCUAACUACGUGCCAGCCGCCGCGGUAAUAC